rnacentral:misc_RNA from 1 species
AACUAACGCAAACCAAAGAUACAGUUUCUGUACUUUAUU